rnacentral:rRNA from 1 species
CAUUAUCGAGUUAUUCAACUCCCAAACCCUAUGUGAACUUACCACUUGUUGCUUCGGCGCGCGCUUCGGCGCCGCCGAGGACACUUAAACUCUUUGUUUUUAUAAGCAUUUCUGAGUGGCCGAAAGGCAAAAAUACAAAUGAAUCAAAACUUUCAACAACGGAUCUCUUGGUUCUGGCAUCGAUGAAGAACGCAGCGAAAUGCGAUAAGUAAUGUGAAUUGCAGAAUUCAGUGAAUCAUCGAAUCUUUGAACGCACAUUGCGCCCGCCAGCAUUCUGGCGGGCAUGCCUGUUCGAGCGUCAUUUCAACCCUCGAGCCCGACUCUUUUGAGGACGGCUCGGCGUUGGGGGACGGCAGACUCCCCCCGGCAUCUCGCCGGGGACGCCGCCCCCGAAAUCUAGUGGCGGCCCUCCGAGGCGACCUCUGCGUAGUAACUUGUUCUCGCACCGGAAAGCUCAGAGCGGCCACGCCGUAAAACCCCAACUUUUUUCAGGUUGACCUCGAAUCAGGUAGGACUACCCGCUGAACUUAAGCAUAUCAAUAAGCGGAGGAAAAGAAACCAACAGGGAUUGCCCCAGUAACGGCGAGUGAAGCGGCAACAGCUCAAAUUUGAAAUCUGGCCCCUAGGGUCCGAGUUGUAAUUUGCAGAGGAUGCUUUUGACAAGGUGCCUUCCGAGUUCCCUGGAACGGGACGCCAUAGAGGGUGAGAGCCCCGUCUGGUCGGAUACCGCGUCUCUGUAAAGCUCCUUCGACGAGUCGAGUAGUUUGGGAAUGCUGCUCAAAAUGGGAGGUAUAUGUCUUCUAAAGCUAAAUAUUGGCCAGAGACCGAUAGCGCACAAGUAGAGUGAUCGAAAGAUG